CCAUGCCUGCGCUGCAGCUGACAGCUCAUUGUCAUCCUCAAAUCUCUGGCCCCAAAGGUAUUUUUUCAGCCUGGGAAAGAGGUGGAAGUCGCUAGGGGCUA